rnacentral:rRNA from 1 species
UCGUAGGCGGUUUGUCGCGUCUGCUUUGAAAUGGGGAGGCUCACCUCCAGCCUGCAGUGGGUCGGGCAGACUAGAUUGCGGUAGGGGAGAUUGGAAUUCCUGGUGAAGCGGUGGAAUGCGCAGAUAUCAGGAGGAACACCGAUGGCGAAGGCAGAUCUGUGGGCCGUAACUGACGCUGAGGAGCGAAAGCAUGGGGAGCGAACAGGAUUAGAUACCCUGGUAGUCCAUGCCGUAAACGUUGGGAACUAGAUGUAGGGACCAUUCCACGGUUUCUGUGUCGCAGCUAACGCAUUAAGUUCCCCGCCUGGGGAGUACGGCCGCAAGGCUAAAACUCAAAGGAAUUGACGGGGGCCCGCACAAGCGGCGGAGCAUGCGGAUUAAUUCGAUGCAACGCGAAGAACCUUACCAAGGCUUGACAUGAACGAGAACGGGUCAGAAAUGAUCAACUCUUUGGACACUCGUUUACAGGUGGUGCAUGGUUGUCGUCAGCUCGUGUCGUGAGAUGUUGGGUUAAGUCCCGCAACGAGCGCAACCCUCGUUCUAUGUUGCCAGCACGUUAUGGUGGGAACUCAUAGGAGACUGCCGGGGUCAACUCGGAGGAAGGUGGGGAUGACGUCAAAUCAUCAUGCCCCUUAUGUCUUGGGCUUCACGCAUGCUACAAUGGCCGGUACAAAGGGCUGCGAUACCGUAAGGUGGAGCGAAUCCCAAAAAGCCGGUCUCAGUUCGGAUUGAGGUCUGCAACUCGACCUCAUGAAGUCGGAGUCGCUAGUAAUCGCAGAUCAGCAACGCUGCGGUGAAUACGUUCCCGGGCCUUGUACACACCGCCCGUCAAGUCAUGAAAGUCGGUAACACCCAACGCCAGUGGCCUUACCUUCGGGAGGGAGCUU